rnacentral:lncRNA from 1 species
UUUUAGAGAACAAUAUUGUAACUCUUGGUGAUUAUAGUGGAGAUUUUGGUACCGUGGUUUCUUACUCUUACCUUGGUUUCUUACUCUUCACACCGAAGGGUUUUCCAUGUAAAUUUGGUGUCUUGUUAUUCUUGUCUUAUCGUAUUUGUGUGAUUGGUUAUUUGCUGUCAUAUUACUUUGUUUUGAUUGGAUUUGAUAGUCUCCUCUU